CGAACGCUGGCGGCGUGCCUACUACAUGCAAGUAGAACGCUGAAGAGAGGAGCUUGCUCUUCUUGGAUGAGUUGCGAACGGGUGAGUAACGCGUAGGUAACCUGCCUUGUAGCGGGGGAUAACUAUUGGAAACGAUAGCUAAUACCGCAUAACAAUGGAUGACACAUGUCAUUUAUUUGAAAGGGGCAAUUGCUCCACUACAAGAUGGACCUGCGUUGUAUUAGCUAGUAGGUGAGGUAAUGGCUCACCUAGGCGACGAUACAUAGCCGACCUGAGAGGGUGAUCGGCCACACUGGGACUGAGACACGGCCCAGACUCCUACGGGAGGCAGCAGUAGGGAAUCUUCGGCAAUGGGGGCAACCCUGACCGAGCAACGCCGCGUGAGUGAAGAAGGUUUUCGGAUCGUAAAGCUCUGUUGUAAGUCAAGAACGGGUGUGAGAGUGGAAAGUUCACACUGUGACGGUAGCUUACCAGAAAGGGACGGCUAACUACGUG
rnacentral:rRNA from 1 species